CAAACUGUAGCUUAACCAAAGCCUUCUCGCUUACACCGAGAAAAUGCCUGAUAGACCCGGGCCAUUUUGA
rnacentral:tRNA from 1 species